GACGAACGCUGGCGGCGUGCUUAACACAUGCAAGUGGUGCGACGAACCAGGCUUCGGCCUGGGGCAGAGCCGCGAACGGGUGAGUAACACGUGGGCAACCUGCCCUGUUGAUCGGGACAACCCGGGGAAACCCGGGCUAAUACCGAAUGUGGUGCCGGCUCAUGAGAGCCGUCACGAAAGGAAGCUUCGGCCUCCGCGACAGGAUGGGCCCGCGGCCCAUUAGCUUGUUGGUGGGGUAAUGGCCUACCAAGGCGACGAUCGGUAGCUGGUCUGAGAGGAUGGUCAGCCACACUGGGACUGAGAUACGGCCCAGACUCCUACGGGAGGCAGCAGUCGAGAGGCUUCGGCAAUGGGGGAAACCCUGACCGAGCGACGCCGCGUGGAGGAUGAAGGCCCUUGGGUCGUAAACUCCUUUCGUGGGGAAAGAAUGUGUUCGGGGUGAAUAAUCCCGGGCAUUGACGGUACCCCAAGAAGAAGCUCCGGCUAACUCCGUGCCAGCCGCCGCUGUAA
rnacentral:rRNA from 1 species